GAUAGUUUGUUUUCGGUUCUUGUUUAAGAGGACAAUAACUCUUCUAAAUGUGUUUCAUUUGCAUAUUGCAGGUCACAGCUCUGUGGCGAAGAAACAAUUGCGAGGUGGUGGUUGCUGUCGUGAGGUCUACAGACAAAAAUACCCUCUUUCCUUCUCCAUCAUUCAGAGUUUAAAACUCUGCAGCCCCACAAAUGCUUGUGGGUGAGCCAUAUGCACAGGUCAUGCCUAUGAUUUCAGAGUUCAACAACUGCUUCAUGUGUGCCACUGAUAAAGAACCUGGAUGUGGCCCAAAGACUGACUGGAUUGAAUGUUUCCAUGCCAACGGUGGUUCCAUGUGCUGUGAAUGAAGACAAAAGAGUUCAACAGAGUAAAGAACACAAACUGGAAGUGCUGUCUUUGUUGUUGAAAAUGUAUGCUAUUCCCCAUCCACACUGAAGAGGCUCUGAAAUGUACAUCAACCAGGGAUAAAGAGAAAGUUAACACGGUGAAAUGUUUCGUACUUAAUUGAAGUAAAGUCUCUGUUGACAUGUUGGAAAAUAUUAAAGGUCUACAAUUUCUGUUUAAUUUGUCAAUAUAAAUUUUUUAUUCAUUGGUUUACUGGCCACCAUUACUGUGUUUACAUGUUCAGUAUAUGUAUU